CAGUCGCCACGGUAAUACGGAGGAUCCAAGCGUUAUCCGGAAUCAUUGGGUUUAAAGGGUCCGUAGGCGGUCUUGUAAGUCAGUGGUGAAAGCCCAUCGCUCAACGGUGGAACGGCCAUUGAUACUGCAGGACUUGAAUUAUUGGGAAGUAACUAGAAUAUGUAGUGUAGCGGUGAAAUGCUUAGAGAUUACAUGGAAUACCAAUUGCGAAGGCAGGUUACUACCAAUUGAUUGACGCUGAUGGACGAAAGCGUGGGUAGCGAACAGGAUUAGAGACCCCCGUAGUCCCUGUCUCUUAUAC
rnacentral:rRNA from 1 species